CCUGACAAGCACAACUCAUUUUUCUCAUCAAUCAGGGUACCUUUUUUUCAAUAUCUGUUUGUCACUGGAACUGGAGAAAAUUUACAUUGACAAGAUCUCUAAUAUUGCACUGUCUUUCACUGAAGAUUAUGGGGAUUCCAGAGGUUGUGUAGAACCAAGGAGAGGAGCACAGAGCUGUCUUUGGAAGUGGAGAAGCAUGGUCCCCUCCUGGGACCAUGGAGGAGGCAGUGUUCAAGCCAAACAGCUCCAGGAAAUGAUGCUGAGUUUCCACUUACAUGAUAAUUCAAACCUUGGUCACAGAGUAAAGUGACCAAAUUGUUUACCUUUGGAUGCACAUGGAGCACAAUUGGAUUGCAAUGAAUUUCAGGAACUGGCAACCAGAGUGUAUUUGAGGUGAGUGACCUAGAAACAAACUUGGUAUCUCAUUACUGUAAGCCAUCCAGUAUGAUUUACUUAGUG
rnacentral:lncRNA from 1 species